rnacentral:rRNA from 1 species
GAUGAACGCUGGCGGCGUGCCUAAUACAUGCAAGUCGAGCGAACAGACGAGGAGCUUGCUCCUCUGAUGUUAGCGGCGGACGGGUGAGUAAAACGUGGAUAACCUACCUAUAAGACUGGGAUAACUUCGGGAAACCGGAGCUAAUACCGGAUAACAUGUUGAACCGCAUGGUUCAACAGUGAAAGACGGUCUUGCUGUCACUUAUAGAUGGAUCCGCGCCGCAUUAGCUAGUUGGUAAGGUAACGGCUUACCAAGACAACGAUGCGUAGCCGACCUGAGAGGGUGAUCGGCCACACUUGAACUGAGACACGGUCCAGACUCCUACGGGAGGCAGCAGUAGGGAAUCUUCCGCAAUGGGCGAAAGCCUGACGGAGCAACGCCGCGUGAGUGAAGAAGGUCUUCGGAUCGUAAAACUCUGUUAUUAGGGAAGAACAAAUGUGUAAGUAACUAUGCACGUCUUGAAGGUACCUAAUCAGAAAGCCACGGCUAACUACGUG